GGUUAAGCGACUAAGCGUACACGGUGGAUGCCCUGGCAGUCAGAGGCGAUGAAGGACGUGCUAAUCUGCGAUAAGCGUCGGUAAGGUGAUAUGAACCGUUAUAACCGGCGAUUUCCGAAUGGGGAAACCCAGUGUGAUUCGUCACACUAUCAUUAACUGAAUCCAUAGGUUAAUGAGGCGAACCGGGGGAACUGAAACAUCUAAGUACCCCGAGGAAAAGAAAUCAACCGAGAUUCCCCCAGUAGCGGCGAGCGAACGGGGAGCAGCCCAGAGCCUGAAUCAGUGUGUGUGUUAGUGGAAGCGUCUGGAAAGGCGCGCGAUACAGGGUGACAGCCCCGUACACAAAAAUGCACAUGCUGUGAGCUCGAUGAGUAGGGCGGGACACGUGGUAUCCUGUCUGAAUAUGGGGGGACCAUCCUCCAAGGCUAAAUACUCCUGACUGACCGAUAGUGAACCAGUACCGUGAGGGAAAGGCGAAAAGAACCCCGGCGAGGGGAGUGAAAAAGAACCUGAAACCGUGUACGUACAAGCAGUGGGAGCACGCUUAGGCGUGUGACUGCGUACCUUUUGUAUAAUGGGUCAGCGACUUAUAUUCUGUAGCAAGGUUAACCGAAUAGGGGAGCCGAAGGGAAACCGAGUCUUAACUGGGCGUUAAGUUGCAGGGUAUAGACCCGAAACCCGGUGAUCUAGCCAUGGGCAGGUUGAAGGUUGGGUAACACUAACUGGAGGACCGAACCGACUAAUGUUGAAAAAUUAGCGGAUGACUUGUGGCUGGGGGUGAAAGGCCAAUCAAACCGGGAGAUAGCUGGUUCUCCCCGAAAGCUAUUUAGGUAGCGCCUCGUGAACUCAUCUCCGGGGGUAGAGCACUGUUUCGGCAAGGGGGUCAUCCCGACUUACCAACCCGAUGCAAACUGCGAAUACCGGAGAAUGUUAUCACGGGAGACACACGGCGGGUGCUAACGUCCGUCGUGAAGAGGGAAACAACCCAGACCGCCAGCUAAGGUCCCAAAGUCAUGGUUAAGUGGGAAACGAUGUGGGAAGGCCCAGACAGCCAGGAUGUUGGCUUAGAAGCAGCCAUCAUUUAAAGAAAGCGUAAUAGCUCACUGGUCGAGUCGGCCUGCGCGGAAGAUGUAACGGGGCUAAACCAUGCACCGAAGCUGCGGCAGCGACGCUUAUGCGUUGUUGGGUAGGGGAGCGUUCUGUAAGCCUGUGAAGGUGUGCUGUGAGGCAUGCUGGAGGUAUCAGAAGUGCGAAUGCUGACAUAAGUAACGAUAAAGCGGGUGAAAAGCCCGCUCGCCGGAAGACCAAGGGUUCCUGUCCAACGUUAAUCGGGGCAGGGUGAGUCGACCCCUAAGGCGAGGCCGAAAGGCGUAGUCGAUGGGAAACAGGUUAAUAUUCCUGUACUUGGUGUUACUGCGAAGGGGGGACGGAGAAGGCUAUGUUGGCCGGGCGACGGUUGUCCCGGUUUAAGCGUGUAGGCUGGUUUUCUAGGCAAAUCCGGAAAAUCAAGGCUGAGGCGUGAUGACGAGGCACUACGGUGCUGAAGCAACAAAUGCCCUGCUUCCAGGAAAAGCCUCUAAGCAUCAGGUAACAUCAAAUCGUACCCCAAACCGACACAGGUGGUCAGGUAGAGAAUACCAAGGCGCUUGAGAGAACUCGGGUGAAGGAACUAGGCAAAAUGGUGCCGUAACUUCGGGAGAAGGCACGCUGAUAUGUAGGUGAAGCGACUUGCUCGUGGAGCUGAAAUCAGUCGAAGAUACCAGCUGGCUGCAACUGUUUAUUAAAAACACAGCACUGUGCAAACACGAAAGUGGACGUAUACGGUGUGACGCCUGCCCGGUGCCGGAAGGUUAAUUGAUGGGGUUAGCGCAAGCGAAGCUCUUGAUCGAAGCCCCGGUAAACGGCGGCCGUAACUAUAACGGUCCUAAGGUAGCGAAAUUCCUUGUCGGGUAAGUUCCGACCUGCACGAAUGGCGUAAUGAUGGCCAGGCUGUCUCCACCCGAGACUCAGUGAAAUUGAACUCGCUGUGAAGAUGCAGUGUACCCGCGGCAAGACGGAAAGACCCCGUGAACCUUUACUAUAGCUUGACACUGAACAUUGAGCCUUGAUGUGUAGGAUAGGUGGGAGGCUUUGAAGUGUGGACGCCAGUCUGCAUGGAGCCGACCUUGAAAUACCACCCUUUAAUGUUUGAUGUUCUAACGUUGACCCGUAAUCCGGGUUGCGGACAGUGUCUGGUGGGUAGUUUGACUGGGGCGGUCUCCUCCUAAAGAGUAACGGAGGAGCACGAAGGUUGGCUAAUCCUGGUCGGACAUCAGGAGGUUAGUGCAAUGGCAUAAGCCAGCUUGACUGCGAGCGUGACGGCGCGAGCAGGUGCGAAAGCAGGUCAUAGUGAUCCGGUGGUUCUGAAUGGAAGGGCCAUCGCUCAACGGAUAAAAGGUACUCCGGGGAUAACAGGCUGAUACCGCCCAAGAGUUCAUAUCGACGGCGGUGUUUGGCACCUCGAUGUCGGCUCAUCACAUCCUGGGGCUGAAGUAGGUCCCAAGGGUAUGGCUGUUCGCCAUUUAAAGUGGUACGCGAGCUGGGUUUAGAACGUCGUGAGACAGUUCGGUCCCUAUCUGCCGUGGGCGCUGGAGAACUGAGGGGGGCUGCUCCUAGUACGAGAGGACCGGAGUGGACGCAUCACUGGUGUUCGGGUUGUCAUGCCAAUGGCACUGCCCGGUAGCUAAAUGCGGAAGAGAUAAGUGCUGAAAGCAUCUAAGCACGAAACUUGCCCCGAGAUGAGUUCUCCCUGACCCUUUAAGGGUCCUGAAGGAACGUUGAAGACGACGACGUUGAUAGGCCGGGUGUGUAAGCGCAGCGAUGCGUUGAGCUAACCGGUACUAAUGAACCGUGAGGCUUAACCUU
rnacentral:rRNA from 1 species